rnacentral:rRNA from 1 species
GACGUAGGGGGCGAGCGUUAUUCGGAAUCAUUGGGCGUAAAGCGCUCGUAGGCGGGAAAGCAAGUCCGUGUUGAAAGACCCCGGCUCAACUGGGGGACCGGCUCGGAUACUGUUUUUCUUGAGGCAAUCAGAGGGUGAUGGAAUUCCCGGUGUAGCGGUGAAACGCGUAGAUAUCGGGAGGAACACCAGUGGCGAAGGCGAUCACCUGGGGUUGUUCUGACGCUGAGGAGCUAAAGCUAGGGGAGCAAACGGG